rnacentral:rRNA from 1 species
UACGUAGGGUCCAAGCGUUAUCCGGAAUCACUGGGCGUAAAGCGUGCGUAGGUGGCGCGUUAAGUGAGAUGUUAAAUCGUGGGGCUCAACCCUGUCGGUGCAUCUCAUACUGGCGUGCUAGAGGACAGCAGAGGCAAGUGGAAUUUGUAGUGUAGCAGUGAAAUGCGUAGAUAUGACAUAGAACACCGAUAGCGAAGGCAGCUUGCUACACAAUUAUUGACACUGAGGCUCGAAAGCGUGGGGAUCAAACAGG